CCGGACAGCCUCAGGUCAUGUGCUGAGGUUCCCAAGGGCAGGACCCACGUCUGCUGUGUCUCUAAAGCCGGGCGCCCAGCCCCCCGUCAGAAGAGAAUAGGGGGUGCAGAUGUUUGCUCGGUGGGCGGGCAAACGAGAACACUAACAACAAGAAACAUGACAACAACAGCUGCUUCUGUCCACGGGAUGUAAAUGCUGUCCCAGGAGACCCUAAAAGAUACCUGGAGCAGAUGAUGUCUGACAGGCCACGGUGAGGCCCUGCCUCUCUCCCGGUGUGGCCUGGUGUGCCCCAGCUGAUGUCAGGCGGGGUGCUGGGGGGAGUGGCUGGGCCACAGGCAGCUCAGCCAGGCUCACCAGGAGCCUCAGUGACUGAGAGAGUGGUCAAGUUCGUGGUUCCAACGGCCGAUCACAGGCACUCGGGUACCAGCAGAUGUCCCUGGGAAGAGACCGAGCUGGGAAGAGAGCCGACUCCCUCCAGCACAGCCAAUCAGGAGACGGGGAUGAGGAGUAGCGGAUGGAGGCCUUGACAGACACCAGGAAACUAAAGCUCAAAGAGGUGAAGUUAACUUGUCUAAAGUCACACUUCCAGGAGCAGCAGAGCCACUGUCUACUUCCAAAGAUCUUCGCCCAUGAGUGAACCUUCUUGCCCCCUCCCCUCCCCCUCCUCCUCUUUCCCACCUCUCCCCUCUGCUUUCUGCUACCAUCAGUGUCAAAUGCGACCUGUUGGCAGAAACAGACGUAUGCAAUAUUUAAUUCACUUUAAUUAAAAUAUAUUUUAGUGGAUUUUUUUUUCUGGAACAUAACUCAUUUUGAUGGGAACCCAUUGGAUUUAAUGGGAAACCUAUUAGAGGAACAUAUUGUGAUCUUUAAUGAAGCUGAGCUGUGUGGAGAACCACCUACAGGUAAUUAGAAACCCUCCGGGCCCUUGGGGAAUAAGGUGAGAUGAACUUCGGUUUGUUUAAGACAAUUAAUGCAGACAAUGAUCUGGGAACGAAUUAAAUGGUCCUUGAUUAGGAGCAGCUGUGCAGGUGGCGUCCUCAGGAAAAUGGGACAUGCAAGUGGGACUGUUAAGAAAGAGUGAUUAUUAAUGCUUAUCUGUUUAUAUUGGCAGCCAGCACUUCUCCAGGCUGUCGGUUUGAUCAAGUGGCUCCUUCUCCCCACCCCAGCUCUUCAUGCUACCUUUCCUCAUUGAUAACUUCUGGAUCUACCAGGUGUCUCAAGGGACCGGCUUGCCUCUGAUAGUGGAUGGGUGCCUCCACGUUGGCAGGCUGGGAGCCCUCCCCCCCACUCCCACCAGUAGAUGCUUCCAGAUUGAUGGGCACUUCUGCACUGGUGGGAUUGGGAACCUCUGUAUUCUCAAAUAUGGCUGUUCCUACAGUAGUUCGAAUGGGAACGUCUAUGCUUUUUCACAUGCAUGCUCUGUAUUUACAGCUUUAAGAGCCAUUCUACUCCUAAAAGGAGGCAUCACCCCUAGUCUGGGAUGGGCUUAUCCCCGCUGGAAUACUGAGGAAAUCCACAUUGAAAGAAAUAAUAAACAGUGCACUGACCAUAAGUACACUUGUACCAUAGAGAUGAGCAUAUUUCAGCUUUGCCUUGAUUGGAGGGCCUCUGCACAUGCAGAGGGGAUGCAUCUUCACUAGAAAAAUGGGAAGGCUGCCUGGAAGAAGAGACAUCUAAAUUGGGUCCUGGUGGGAGUUAGCAAGAGGUCACUUCUGUAUCGACAGGAAUGGAGCUUACAGCUGUGAGUGCUUGUACAUCUCUUAGAACGAAAGCACCUGCCGUGGUUGGGCUGGGAAUGUCCCCAGGGACAGGAAUGGGUAUGAUUACCUUAAAGAAAGAAAUGGUGAGUCUAUAUGGCAGGGAAGGUGCUUCACACAGGUAACGAUGGGGCACUUCUACACUCACAUGAAUUGGAAUCCCUGCAUUUGCUAGAAUAAGCGUUCUAUAGAUGGGCAUGUCUACAUUAGCAAGGGUGGGCACUUCUGUGCUGGCAGGGUUAAUUCCUAGAAGAGAAUGGAGCUUUUGCACUGAAAGAAAUGGUUGUCUCUUCAUUGGUGAAGGUGGGCACUUCUACACUGAUCUCUGACAUUUCCUGAGUCCUGACCAGUAAAACCAGAGUGAUUCCACUGACUUUUCCAAAAUCCCAGACCAUUCCCUCAACUCACAGCCUAGGGCUACUUUGUCCAGAGGUGGGGGAGGCAGUCACACUGUGGGUGGCAUGGGGCAGGGAGAGACAAUGGAGAGAGGAAGCAGGACCACUGGUUACCUACCUGCCCAGGAGUGGAUUAGGAAGGAAAGAGCCCAGAGUGUGUUCCAAGCAACUUUCUGGUACUCAGAAGCAGUGAGGCUGGGGAGGGUGGCAGCCAGGACCCCCCACCAACACCAGGCAGCCCUGAGCCCCUUCCCCAAUCCCCUCACAGCUCAAGUUUCUGGCAGGGGCUGCUGUGAGAUUCCCCAUGCAACCCUGACACAGGGCUGUAGCUAAAACAUUGGUCUGGCAGUUUUCCCUCUUUAAGUUGAAGUGUGAUGUUGGCAGGCAGUGAGCUGUGGUGGCAGGCUGCCAGAGGGAGCAUGUGUUGGAAAUCCUUGUUCCACGUUGCAGCAAUCUGGGGCUCCCCCACCCACAAACUGCUCCAGAGCCAGCCAGCCAUGGGGGCCAGAGCCUCCCACUGAUGGGGAGCAGCCACCAAGAAUAGGGAAUGAUGAGGAACAGAGGCUUAGAGAAACCAAGGAUAGAGGAAAACAUGAACAGAAAUGGAGCCACAGAGAGACAUAGACACAGAACCACAGCCAGAGACAGACACAGAGAGACCCAUGGAGACCCAAGGUCAGAAGAGAUCCAAGGAAGAUGGAAUUGAAAGAAAUUAAGAAGCAUGGGAGAUUAGAUAAAAAUGACAGACUGGGCCCAGUCCUCUCUC